AGAGUUUGAUCAUGGCUCAGGACGAACGCUGACGGUGUGCUUAGACAUGCAAGUCGAACGAGAAAGCCCUUCGGGGUGAGUACAGUGGCGAACGGGUGAGUAGCACGUGGGUAACCUGCCCCUCGCAGAGGGACAACCGGGGGGAAACCCCGGCUAAUACCUCGUACGCUUGCCGGGCCGCAUGGCUCGGCAAGGAAAGGUAGCUUCGGCCAUCCGGCGAGGGAUGGGCCCGCGGUCCAUUAGCUAGUUGGUGGGGUAACGGCUCACCAAGGCGACGAUGGAUAGCUGGUCUGAGAGGACGAUCAGCCACACUGGGACUGAGACACGGCCCAGACUCCUACGGGAGGCAGCAGUCGGGAAUCUUGCGCAAUGGGCGAAAGCCUGACGCAGCAACACCGUGUGGGCGACGAAGGCCUUCGGGUCGUAAAGCCCUGUUGUUGGGGACGAAGGGCGAAGGGUUAAUAGCCCCUAGUCUGACGGUACCCUUCGAGGAAGCCCCGGCUAACUACGUGCCAGCAGCCGCGGUAAUACGUAGGGGGCGAGCGUUGUCCGGAAUUAUUGGGCGUAAAGAGCGUGUAGGCGGUUCGGUAAGUCUGCCGUGAAAACCUGGGGCUCAACCCCGGGCGUGCGGUGGAUACUGCCGGGCUAGAGGGUGGUAGAGGCGAGUGGAAUUCCCGGUGUAGCGGUGAAAUGCGCAGAUAUCGGGAGGAACACCAGUAGCGAAGGNNNNNNGCUGGGCCAUUCCUGACGCUGAGACGCGAAGGCAUGGGGAGCGAACAGGAUUAGAUACCCUAGUAGUCC
rnacentral:rRNA from 1 species